ACAUAUACGCGUGUGUGAAGAAGCUGAGGUUGUAGCACUUUCAAUAGGAAGGAAUACCUAUCGGUUAAUACCCGGUAACUGACAUUACCUAUACAAGAAGCACCGGCUANUCCGUGCCAGCAGCCGCGGUAAUACGGAGGGUGCAAGCGUUAAUCGGAAUUACUGGGGCGUAAACCNNCGUGCGUAANNGGCGGGUUAAUUUAANGUUCAGAAUGGUGACAACGCCCUGGGGCCNUAUAACCUGGGGGAACUGCAUUUGAUACUGGAUGACUAGAGUUGAGUAGAGGAGAGUGGAAUUUCAGGUGUAGCGGUGAAAUGCGUAGAGAUCUGAAGGAACACCAGUGGCGAAGGCGGCUCUCUGGACUCAAACUGACGCUGAGGUACGAAAGCGUGGGUAGCAAACAGGAUUAGAUACCCUGGUAGUCCACGCCGUAAACGAUGUCAACUAACCGU
rnacentral:rRNA from 1 species